rnacentral:rRNA from 1 species
ACGGAGGGUGCAAGCGUUAUCCGGAUUCACUGGGUUUAAAGGGUGCGUAGGUGGGUGUGUAAGUCAGUGGUGAAAUCCCCGAGCUUAACUUGGGAACUGCCGUUGAUACUAUAUAUCUUGAAUGUCGUAGAGGUAAGCGGAAUAUGUCAUGUAGCGGUGAAAUGCUUAGAGAUGACAUAGAACACCAAUUGCGAAGGCAGCUUGCUAUGCGAUUAUUGACACUGAGGCACGAAAGCGUGGGUAGCAAACAGGA